AAUUGAAAAAGCGGUAUCACCUGUUUGUUUUUAUUUUAUAUACUACCUUUGCAUUUCAGCAAAGGAGAAAUGUCUGAACAUUGAGAGUUGAUUGGCCCAUUCUUAUAUUUUUUGUUACUUUUGAGAUAUGCAGAUAAUGUUUACAAAGUAAGUAAGGAAGAAAAGUUGGCAGAGGGACUCAGGUCAUUCCAUAGGGAGUAAAUGAAGCAUUGUUUUUAACUCCAUAGGGCAAUCCUUGAGCUGCUGGAUCUGUUUCUUAGUGGAAUAUUGCAAAACAGACACAGUAGGGGGGAAGAAACUAAGCUUUAUACAUGAUUUACAGACAUGCAAAGCUGUAGAUGCUGUGCCCAUUAAUGAGAUGUUUAGUAUUUAAAAUUCCUUCCUUUCAUGAAGUUACACCUUUGUGCAUAGACUUCCAUGUUUUGUCCUUGUAUUUAUGCUGAAAUAAAUCAAGAGGUGCAUAUUUAUAGUUCUUGUGAAGUUUAUUAACAACAAUUGCUUUACUAUAAUAAUAAUAAUAAUUAGACUAACAUGUGGGGAUGGCAAAAUAUUAAAGAUGUGGUUUUCAGACAGGUCGAUUUCAUGGUUAAGACUUUCAAAAAUUUUAGUUAAUGUUUUUGGAUAACCAAAUGAGUAACUACAUUUCUAAAAGUUCAUUAAUUAUCACAGUUUUUGCUUGUCAGACCACGUUAAUAUUGUCAAAAUAUGAAAAUCAGUUAAUAUGAGAAACAAACUUAAUAACAGGAUGGCUAGUGAUAGUGAUUCAGUUACCAACUUCUAUUUGCCUGUGACAUGCUAUUCACUGGUAACAUAGCAGCAUUUUGUUUUUCUCCUGAUACUUAAAUGCUGGCUACUGGACAGAAUACAAAGCAACAUUUACACACAAAGGUGAUGGAUGUGUCCAACAAAGGUAACAUCUCAUGUCUGAAGGAGUGGAGUGUUGUAAAUAGAAAGAGUGUACUAUGUUGUACAUUGCUUUCAAAGGGAAAACUGUUCUUGCUGCUACUCAUGCUGAUAGUACAUGCAGUUGAUGGCAGCAUGCAAACUCACUAGACUGUGCGGCAACUGACCUUCCUCCAAGUAAGCACAAUUUUACUGGUCAAGAAACCUCCUUUCAAGUCAGGUUCUGUAAGAAAGAAUUCAGCUCAAGGCUGGAGUUUGGCUGCUCACUUAGUUUAUGAGCAAUAUUGCUUGUAUGUAGCAUGCUGUUUUUUCCAGGUCUGUACUCUCCAAACGCAUCCCCAGCCUGGCAUUUGUGUACAAAUUAAUACAC